rnacentral:rRNA from 1 species
AUUGAACGCUGGCGGAAUGCUUUACACAUGCAAGUCGAACGGCAGCACGGGGGCAACCCUGGUGGCGAGUGGCGAACGGGUGAGUAAUACAUCGGAACGUGCCCGGUCGUGGGGGAUAACGUAGCGAAAGUUACGCUAAUACCGCAUACGAUCUGAGGAUGAAAGCGGGGGACCUUCGGGCCUCGCGCGAUCGGAGCGGCCGAUGUCAGAUUAGGUAGUUGGUGGGGUAAAGGCCUACCAAGCCGACGAUCUGUAGCUGGUCUGAGAGGACGACCAGCCACACUGGGACUGAGACACGGCCCAGACUCCUACGGGAGGCAGCAGUGGGGAAUUUUGGACAAUGGGCGCAAGCCUGAUCCAGCCAUUCCGCGUGCAGGACGAAGGCCUUCGGGUUGUAAACUGCUUUUGUAUGGAACGAAAAGGGUCUGGCUAAUACCUGGGGCUCAUGACGGUACCGUAAGAAUAAGCACCGGCUAACUACGUG